rnacentral:rRNA from 1 species
AUACGGAGGGGGUUAGCGUUGUUCGGAGUUACUGGGCGUAAAGCGCACGUAGGCGGAUUGGAAAGUUGGGGGUGAAAUCCCAGGGCUCAACCCUGGAACUGCCUCCAAAACUAACAGUCUAGAGUUCGAGAGAGGUGAGUGGAAUUCCAAGUGUAGAGGUGAAAUUCGUAGAUAUUUGGAGGAACACCAGUGGCGAAGGCGGCUCACUGGCUCGAUACUGACGCUGAGGUACGAAAGCGUGGGGAGCAAACAGGAUUAGAAACCCCAGUAGUCC